AUGCCAUGAUAUGGGCAUUUCCUUAGUAAUUCUUUGUACCUUUCCCAACCAUUAGGAACUGCUUCAUCAUCCAGUUAUCUAAAAAACAAAUUUCAUUUUUGAACUU